GCAGUGCUGAGGAUCAAACCCAGGGCCUCACACAUGCUAGGCAAGCGCUCUACUGCUAAGCUACAACCCCAGCCCGUAAUUUGAUGUUUAUUGUGAUCAGAAUCCAACGAUCACCCAGGCUGCUGUUUGAAGAACAAAUGGGACAGGGUGUGGCAGCAAGGACAGACUUGGUUUGACUCCAGAGAUAUUUUGAAGGAAUUGCCAAUGAAAUUUUCCAACAUUGAUAUGAGAAGGACAAGGAGGAGUGUUUGGGGGCAGCUAUCUGGGUCCCAGCGUGUGCCAAGGCCCUGAGGUGACAGCUGCUUGAACAGACUCCCACACCCUGCAGCCGAUGCCAGAUCCCCUGGGUGCAGUUCGCAAAGGAGGGGCUGGGAGCUGGACUGUCACCUUUAUCUGACACCACAGCAGACCACAAAGGACAAGAGAGCUGGAAGGUGAGAAAUGCACCCUGGGGUGGGGGUUGGAGAAGAGAAGGUGCAGGAAGACGCCC